rnacentral:misc_RNA from 1 species
CACAACAUAACAAACAUAGAACAGGUAAACGGAUAA